AGUGCUUGCAUGGGGCCCGGCCCCUGGGCAGAGGGCUGGAGUUUGAGUCCUGACCCUGUUCCUCGUUAGCUGUGCCAUCUCAGGGAGCACUUAGAGGAGAAGUCUGGGUGCGAACCCCUCCGUGUCUGAGGCUCAUCUCUCAGAGAACGGACUGGCCUGGCCCACCUGCCCCUUCCCAGGCCUAAUGGACAGCAGGAAUUGGGCCUGGUUCCUCUGGGUCUCCUAGGGUCUGGCCGGUGGAGCAUGACGGGAAGACUGGACCACAGGACAAGAAGCUGGAGGAAACACAUUUAGAGACCUUAAGUCUCUUGCCCAAGGCAACUCAGAGGGAGAGCCAGGACUCAAACUCAGCCUCUCAAAGACCACGGCGAAGGCCCCUGUGGAUGCCAGAGCCAAGUAAGUGGCUCAAGAAAUGGGGGCGUUCCCUGGGGCAGAAAACCACCCUCACUCACUUCCCAGACUCGCCUUCUGGAUGACGGAGGCUCCCUGGCUGUUUCACGGGGGAGCCGCAGGCUCAGGGGCCGCUCCUGUGUUGCCAGCAGGAAUCAUGGUCUCUUCAAGGUCAGACACCCUCUCCCACCAUGUCCCCAAGGUGCUUGGCCUGGGACAGCCCCGCGCGGAAGGUAGAGAAGGGGGAGUGAUGGCGUUGGAAUCCACUCCACGUCCUGCUGUGUGACUUCUUUAGGCCUCAGGGGCCUCAGCCAGGAAACGGGACCAUGAAGAGCCUUCUCACGGGGCUGUUGUGCAGGUACAGGGGCUCACGGGCGAGAAGCGGGCACUGCACCGAGGGUUCAGGACCCUGAACGGGCUCCAUAAGCGAGGGCGCCACCUCCCCGGACGGCUAUGCCUGACCAUCCCCGUUGGAAGCAGGACUUUCAUUUUCUUCUUACCCACACCACCCCGUUCUUUCUCUUCACAAGCACUCAGCCCAGUUUGUAAUUAGAUGAGUUUGUUUACUUGUCCUUGAGAGCAGGGACCGUCUCGUUUCCCACUUCUCCAUCCCGAGCACCAAGAGCAGGAGCACAGAAAACACUGAACGGACCUGCCCCGUCCUCUGCAGGCGGAGCGGGACUAGGGUUUUCUGCCGUUUCUCAGCGGACUUGGCUUUCAGAGCCCUGGAGAGUCCUCGCCUCCACCCCCCAGAGAUGACCCUGCCGCUGGCGCUGUCGUAACUGGGAAGGGCUGGAUACUCUCUGCAGACACAGAGGAAGCUGGGGCAGAACGACUGGGGGGGGGGGGGGCAAGGCUGGGUCUCACACUCACCUUGCUGGCCACGGCCCUUGAUGGAUGAUCGGGUCCUUCUGGAACUGCUUUUGCCCUUCCUGCUGCCUGCAGCUGCUUGGCCUGCAGCCCCCGCAGCCACAUUACAUCUCCCCCAGAGCCCGGCUUUGGCCCCGCUCUCUGGCCCUGCUCUCACCUGAGGCUGGGCCUGACUUUCCGAGCCGCCUUCCCCUCCUGCCCCACCUCCUUCCAGGUCUCGCCUGCCUCCUGCCCUCAGCUGAGACCAGGGCCCCCCUGGCCUUGGCAGAUGUGUGAGGCACUCUGCGUCCAGAUGUGAUUGUGUUUAUGUUUCCAGAGAGCGAGGGGUCGGAGCUCUGGACUGGAGCCGCUGGGGGAGGGGUGGUCUGGCUCCAGCCCCCUGCCCAACCUUCCCUUCCCCCACGUCCCUCCUCCAGCCUGUGUAUCUGGCCCCGUCCUCCUCAGAACCCCACAGCAUCAGGCAGGGCUGUCCUCCAGAAGGACCCCUCCUCACUCCUCCCUGAAGGUGAGAAGAUGCCUGGCUUCGGAAGGCGUAUGACCUUGGCCCAGUGCGGGGUGUGGUAGGGUUUUGGUCCGGUCAUCCGUAUAGCAGGGAUGACACUCCUGACCUCAGAGGCAGUGCUGAUGUGGUUUGGGAACGUGUCCCCAGGACUCCUCAGCUAUUCGCUGGUGACUAAGCCCAUGGCUGUGCCCUACUCUCAGCUAGGGCUUGCCUGGGUCCAGCUCCAGGGCAGUGCCAAUCACAAGGUGAUUCUAAAGCAGGAUAACCACCCCUCCUUCCUCCCCCGCUGCAGCUGCAAACAUUUUGUUUUGCC
rnacentral:lncRNA from 1 species